GAUGAAGAACGCAGCGAAAUGCGAUAAGUAAUGUGAAUUGCAGAACUCAGUGAAUCAUCGAAUCUUUGAACGCACAUUGCGCCCCUUGGUAUCCCGAGGGGCAUGCCUGUUCGAGCGUCAUUUCACCACUCAAGCCUGGCUUGGUGUUGGGCGACGUCCCCUUUGGGGACGCGCCUCGAAACGCUCGGCGGCGUGGCACCGGCUUUAAGCGUAGCAGAAUCUUUCGCUUUGGAAGUCGGGGCCCCGUCUGCCGGAAGACCUACUCGCAAGGUUGUCCUCGGAUCAGGCAGGGAUACCCGCUGAACUUAAGCAUAUCAAUAAGCGGAGGA
rnacentral:misc_RNA from 1 species